rnacentral:rRNA from 1 species
AUGACAUUCUGGCGGCAGGGCCGCUGCAUCCGGUGGGAAGGCCUUGGGGGCGCCGCGCCGGCCGUGCCGCACCUACAGUUGGCCGCCGCGUCCUCAGAGGCCGAGCACCCCCUACUGGAUCCUCUUCUGCAGCAGCACAAUGACAUCUUCGACGAGCCGCGAGGUCUUCCGCCUGCCCGGGUGUACGACCAUCGUAUUCACCUCGUACCGGGCUCCACUCCGGUAGCGGUGCGGCCCUAUCGCUACCCACAGUUGCAGAAGGAUGAGCUGGAGCGCCAGUGUGCCCUGAUGCUCGCCGCAGGCAUCAUCCGCAUCUCCACGUCACCCUUCUCGGCGCCGGUGCUUCUCGUCCGUAAGUCCGACGGCACAUGGCGCUUCUGCAUCGACUACCGCGCCCUCAACGCGCUCAUGCUCAAGGACAAGUUCCCUAUACCGGUGGUCGACGAGCUCUUGGAUGAGCUCCAUGGGGCACGCUUCUUCACCAAGCUCGAUCUCCGGUCGGGCUAUCAUCAGGUGCGCAUGCAUCCGGACGACAUCGCCAAG